GAAUGCUGACAUAAGUAACGAUAAAGCGGGUGAAAAGCCCGCUCGCCGGAAGACCAAGGGUUCCUGUCCAACGUUAAUCGGGGCAGGGUGAGUCGACCCCUAAGGCGAGGCCGAAAGGCGUAGUCGAUGGGAAACGGGUUAAUAUUCCCGUACUUGGUGUUACUGCGAAGGGGGGACGGAGAAGGCUAUGUUGGCCGGGCGACGGUUGUCCCGGUUUAAGCGUGUAGGUGUGUGUUCCAGGUAAAUCCGGUUCACUUUAACACUGAGGCGUGACGACGAGGCACUACGGUGCUGAAGCAACAAAUGCCCUGCUUCCAGGAAAAGCCUCUAAGCAUCAGGUAACACGAAAUCGUACCCCAAACCGACACAGGUGGUCAGGUAGAGAAUACCAAGGCGCUUGAGAGAACUCGGGUGAAGGAACUAGGCAAAAUGGUGCCGUAACUUCGGGAGAAGGCACGCUGACACGUAGGUGA
rnacentral:rRNA from 1 species